CGGAGGAUCCAAGCGUUAUCCGGAAUCAUUGGGUUUAAAGGGUCCGUAGGCGGUCUUGUAAGUCAGUGGUGAAAGCCCAUCGCUCAACGGUGGAACGGCCAUUGAUACUGCUGGACUUGAAUUAUUAGGAAGUAACUAGAAUAUGUAGUGUAGCGGUGAAAUGCUUAGAGAUUACAUGGAAUACCAAUUGCGAAGGCAGGUUACUACUAAUUGAUUGACGCUGAUGGACGAAAGCGUGGGGGAGCGAACAGGAUU
rnacentral:rRNA from 1 species